rnacentral:tRNA from 1 species
GGGCCCGUAGCCUAGCCUGGAUAGGGCGACAGCCUUCUAAGCUGUAGGUCGGGGGUUCAAAUCCUCCCGGGCCCG